CAACCCACCUCAAAUCGCUUUCUGAUUGCUUAUCGACACUUGCAAUCGGCCUCCUGCGACACCCGGCACCCGCUUUGGCCCGAUCUCUCGCGCGACCACCCGAACGGCCUCCAAUCCACAAUCCGAAAAUUAAAACUCUUCGGUUAUGUGCCACAGCGCUUCAAAUCCACUUUCAUGAUUUUACGAUGUCGCCUCGGCCCUCCAGGCGGAAACGAAGCCUAACGUCCGUUUCUUUAAUAACUUCACAACGGCUCGACGAAUCGCCGAACCGACUUCGCCAACGCAUUCGUUUACCUAACAAUUAGAUUUAUGGAGGGUCAAAUUAGAUCAAACCCUUAUAUUUUACAAAACCCCAUUUUCUAAGCCUAAUAUGAAUUAACCUCCAAAUAAUCCAAAUUAAAUGGAUCAAUAUGCUAACAAAGCUCAUUAGAGGCUAUUAGAACACUUAAAGCUAAGUAUUAAGCCAAAUCCCAAAAGCUUACGACAAUGUGAACACCGCGACGAAAACACGCCAUUCCAACGGGCGCACGAAAGCGCGAUCCGUCGCCUCCAACGCGUUCGCAAGCAUCUUCUCCACCAACGCCGCGAAUUUGAGCGAGAGAUAUAUUUGGAGAGAUGGGAGAGAUCUUUAGAGAGAGAAAGGAACAGUUGGAGCCCUUCUAAAUGUCCGUUUGGGCUCAAAUUUGACAGGCAGGCUCAGUUUAAUGUACUGAGUAAGAAUAUAUCUUAAGUUUUCAGUUUCGACCCCGUUUGGUCACUGAAAAUUGUACUGAACUGUAAUCUUUAUUAGAUAACUAUCGGAUUUUAUUUUUCACCUUCCGGGUGUCAGAAUGACAUGAAACUUUAAAUAUAGCCUCAUAAAAAUAAUUCUGACUUACCCUCCAGUUUUCAUAAUUUUCUGACACUGUGCAUUUUCUGCUAAUUUAUCUGCCCCGUUUCUCACAGAAAAUUCUAAAUCUUCUGUUUUCACUCCAAUUUCAGCACAGGUCGUUUCUAACUCGUAUUUCACUUCUCCAAAUCCAAUAAAAAUAGUAUCUCAUACUAUUUUUAUUUAUUUUCAUUUUUGUAUUUAAAAUCCGGUAUACUACAUUCCACCACAAUCUCACCGGAACCAUUCAAAUGGCUUUCCAACCAAAUGUAUAUCGUAACUUCAUAAUUUUAGAAGUCCGGUACCUUACAUUCUCCCCUCCUUAAAAGAGUUUCGUCCUCGAAACUAUCUCACUUCAAUUUCAAUUCAUACCCCAACUCAACUUAUCAAAUAGUCGAG
rnacentral:lncRNA from 1 species